rnacentral:misc_RNA from 1 species
GCCGUCAAUUCAUUUGAGUUUUAAUCUUGCGACCGUACUCCCCAGGCGGUCGAUUUCACGCGUUAGCUUCGCUACUAAGCAGUCAUGCUGCCCAACAGCUAAUCGACAUCGUUUAGGGCGUGGACUACCAGGGUAUCUAAUCCUGUUUGCUACCCACGCAUUCGGGCAUGAACGUCAGUGUUAUCCCAGGAGGCUGCCUUCGCCAUCGGUAUUCCUCCACAUCUCUACGCAUUUCACUGCUACACGUGGAAUUCUACCUCCCUCUGACACACUCUAGUCACCCAGUUCAGAACGCAGUUCCCAGGUUGAGCCCGGGGAUUUCACAUCCUGCUUAAGUAACCGUCUGCGCCCGCUUUACGCCCAGUAAUUCCGAUUAACGCUCGCACCCUACGUAUUACCG